GAAAGUGACGGUACCUGCAGAAGAAGCGCCGGCUAACUACGUGCCAGCAGCCGCGGUAAUACGUAGGGCGCAAGCGUUGUCCGGAAUUAUUGGGCGUAAAGAGCUCGUAGGCGGCUUGUCACGUCGGUUGUGAAAGCCCGGGGCUUAACCCCGGGUCUGCAGUCGAUACGGGCAGGCUAGAGUUCGGUAGGGGAGAUCGGAAUUCCUGGUGUAGCGGUGAAAUGCGCAGAUAUCAGGAGGAACACCGGUGGCGAAGGCGGAUCUCUGGGCCGAUACUGACGCUGAGGAGCGAAAGCGUGGGGAGCGAACAGGAUUAGAUACCCUGGUAGUCCACGCCGUAAACGGUGGGCACUAGGUGUGGGCAACAUUCCACGUUGUCCGUGCCGCAGCUAACGCAUUAAGUGCCCCGCCUGGGGAGUACGGCCGCAAGGCUAAAACUCAAAGGAAUUGACGGGGGCCCGCACAAGCGGCGGAGCAUGUGGCUUAAUUCGACGCAACGCGAAGAACCUUACCAAGGCUUGACAUACACCGGAAAGCAUCAGAGAUGGUGCCCCCCUUGUGGUCGGUGUACAGGUGGUGCAUGGC
rnacentral:rRNA from 1 species